ensembl:lncRNA CASC15 cancer susceptibility 15
GCAAUGGAGAACAUUUACAGAGGACUGUGGGUAAAGCAAAGUCUUCAAGGGAAGAUAACAAAGGAUGAAACAAUGGUGUUGUGUGACUUCCUAGUGUGAAUCAUGGCAAUACAGUGAAAGACAGUGAUUUACUGCUUUUGAGGGCGUGCAUGUAUAUGAUUAACGGAUGGAAGUGCAGGACUCCAAGAUUUACUUCCUUCCCUUUCCAGCAGAAUUACCUGAGACGAGUAAAAUCUACUGGUGGAGUCACUCCAUUAUUCUUAUCUGUGGAGAUCUAGAUCUUGAUUUGAAAGUUUCUGAGAAAAUCUUCAGCUCAGACUUGAGGGUCAACUUUACCAGCUGAAGGAUCUGCAUUUACUGCUCAACCACAUCUAAUUUGAUGUCCUCUGCAGAUUUAAAAUGUGUGCCUUCUUUUCCGUCACCAAGUCAUCCCUGGGUUACUACUGAACAUCCUUCUCAAUUCCCCCCGACCCAUGGAUGGCUGUUCUCCAUUGUCUGUUUCACCAGAUGUCCUCAAAACAAACAGACAGAAGAAGGAAGUGGCUAAUGGAGCUGUGGAGUCCAAGUGUGACUGCCAAGAGGAAUCCAGCAAAGCCAAAAAGCCCAAGCAUGUAGCCCUGCCCGAAGCACGCCACACGCAUGGAAAACCCAGAGGAAAUGAGUGAGGAUCAAUGGGAAGAAGAGAGCCAGCCAGCUCUGUAUUCUAAGAACCUGGAAACAAUCUUUAUUCACACUGUUAAGACGAUUGAGAAAAAUGGAUGGAUAGAGUUUAUUUGCUAAGAGAAAAACUGAGUGACUACCUAGCUACCUCACUCCUUUUUGCUCUAUUGGUCCUGUGACUUUGUACGACUCCUUUAACCUCUGUCAGCAUCAUUCUUCAAUCCUGCUUUCCUUAUUAGUGUGAGGAUAAAAAUAAAGCAAAUUUCGAAGUUGAAAGAGAGCUAAAAGAUAAUCAAGCCCAACCUCCUCAUUUUAUCAGUGAGAAAAUGAACCUCGCUCAAGGCAACUGAGCCCGAUAGAAGCAAAAAGUGUUUACCUGAUUUAGAGGAAGUUGAAGAUUUGUCCAGGAGCAGAUAGCUGAAGAGAGAGAGAGAGAAGAGAGAACGGCUUACAGCUCAGGUCCUCUCUCCAUGCUUAGGAACCACUACAAAUGCUACUGCCUUGAGUCUCAUUUUGUUUCCCUCUGGAAACCACAUGUGUACCUUGUUUGCAACAGUAUGGUUCUGGAGACCAGAAGGCCAAAAUCAAAAGUAUGGGCAGGCUUGAUUUCUUUAGAAGACUCCAGCGGAGAACUGUGUCUCCUUGCUUCUGAUUCUACAUCUCCAUCCAUGGGCCACUGUUUCAGCAACCUCAGCCAGUGCAACACAACCUCAGCCAAGAAGAGUAUGCAGAGAAAGGAGUCCCCUACCUGCCACAAAACUGUUGUCUGAAAACUGUCUCAUAUUGUCUCAAGUUGUCAUUCAUUGUGAAUUAGACCUGUUUAACAUGUAAUCUGCA